UGAGGAAUAUUGCGCAAUGGACGAAAGUCUGACGCAGCCAUGCCGCGUGCAGGAUGACGGCCCUAUGGGUUGUAAACUGCUUUUGUAUGGGAAUAAACCCUUCUACGUGUAGAAGGCUGAAGGUACCAUAAGAAUAAGCACCGGCUAACUCCGUGCCAGCAGCCGCGGUAAUACGGAGGGUGCAAGCGUUAUCCGGAUUUAUUGGGUUUAAAGGGUCCGUAGGCGGGCCGAUAAGUCAGUGGUGAAAGCCCAUAGCUCAACUAUGGAACUGCCAUUGAAACUGUCGGUCUUGAGUAUAUGUGAUGUUGGCGGAAUGUGUAGUGUAGCGGUGAAAUGCUUAGAUAUUACACAGAACACCGAUUGCGAAGGCAGCUGACAAAUAUAUAACUGACGCUGAGGGACGAAAGUGUGGGGAUCAAACAGGAUUAGAUACCCUGGUAGUCCACACCGUAAACGAUGAUUACUAGAUUUUGGCCUUAUGGUCAGAGUCCAAGCGA
rnacentral:rRNA from 1 species